rnacentral:rRNA from 1 species
GACGAACGCUGGCGGCGUGCUUAACACAUGCAAGUCGAACGGAAAGGCCCUGCUUUUGUGGGGUGCUCGAGUGGCGAACGGGUGAGUAACACGUGAGUAACCUGCCCUUGACUUUGGGAUAACUUCAGGAAACUGGGGCUAAUACCGGAUAGGAGCUCCUGCUGCAUGGUGGGGGUUGGAAAGUUUCGGCGGUUGGGGAUGGACUCGCGGCUUAUCAGCUUGUUGGUGGGGUAGUGGCUUACCAAGGCUUUGACGGGUAGCCGGCCUGAGAGGGUGACCGGCCACAUUGGGACUGAGAUACGGCCCAGACUCCUACGGGAGGCAGCAGUGGGGAAUAUUGCACAAUGGGCGGAAGCCUGAUGCAGCAACGCCGCGUGCGGGAUGACGGCCUUCGGGUUGUAAACCGCUUUCGCCUGUGACGAAGCGUGAGUGACGGGAAUGGGUAAGAAGCACCGGCUAACUACGUG